rnacentral:rRNA from 1 species
UAGGGAAUCUUCGGCAAUGGACGAAAGUCUGACCGAGCAACGCCGCGUGAGUGAAGAAGGUUUUCGGAUCGUAAAACUCUGUUGUUAGAGAAGAACAAGGACGUUAGUAACUGAACGUCCCCUGACGGUAUCUAACCAGAAAGCCACGGCUAACUACGUGCCAGCAGCCGCGGUAAUACGUAGGUGGCAAGCGUUGUCCGGAUUUAUUGGGCGUAAAGCGAGCGCAGGCGGUUUCUUAAGUCUGAUGUGAAAGCCCCCGGCUCAACCGGGGAGGGUCAUUGGAAGCUGGGAGACUUGAGUGCAGAAGAGGGGAGUGGAAUUCCAUGUGUAGCGGUGAGAUGCGUAGAUAUAUGGAGGAACACCAGUGGCGAAGGCGGCUCUCUGGUCUGUAGCUGACGCUGAGGCUCGAAAGCGUGGGGAGCAAACAGG